AGGCAUUUUCAGGUCCCGGAGAACAGUGUUUCACGUGUCGGAGCGAACGCCUUCCCGUGAACGAGAACACGCUUCUCGUUCCCAAAGGAACGUGUUAAGCCAAGGAUCUGAUUGUAUGCUCAUUGUAUGCAGUACAACUUUUUCUACGACAAGGCAGGCAGUCCUCAAUUCUAAAUGCACGGAUUUGUUGUAUCUUUGUUGCUGUCCCAGUAAGCCCCCGUACAGUCCACAUUGGGGCAGGUGUGGACUCUUAUGGUGAAAUUUCUCUCCUGAAU